GAUGAACGCUGGCGGCGUGCCUAAUACAUGCAAGUCGAGCGAAUGGAUUAAGAGCUUGCUCUUAUGAAGUUAGCGGCGGACGGGUGAGUAACACGUGAGUAACCUGCCCAUGAGACUGGGAUAACUCCGGGAAACCGGGGCUAAUACCGGAUAACAUUUUGAACCGCAUGGUUCGAAAUUGAAAGGCGGCUUCGGAUGUCACUUAUGGCUGGACCCGCGUCGCAUUAGCUAGUUGGUGAGGUAACGGCUCACCAAGGCAACGAUGCGUAGCCGACCUGAGAGGGUGAUCGGCCACACUGGGACUGAGACACGGCCCAGACUCCUACGGGAGGCAGCAGUAGGGAAUCUUCCGCAAUGGACGAAAGUCUGACGGAGCAACGCCGCGUGAGUGAUGAAGGCUUUCGGGUCGUAAAACUCUGUUGUUAGGGAAGAACAAGUGCUAGUUGAAUAAGCUGGCACCUUGACGGUACCUAACCAGAAAGCCACGGCUAACUACGUGCCAGCAGCCGCCGUAA
rnacentral:rRNA from 1 species